rnacentral:rRNA from 1 species
UACAGAGGUGUCAAACGUUGUCCGGAAUUAUUGGGCGUAAAGGGCGCGUAGGCGGUUGGAUAAGUCAGCUGUGAAAUCACUGGGCUCAACCCAGUAAUUGCAUUUGAUACUGUCUAGCUUGAGUUGGGUAGAGGAGGGCGGAAUUCCCGGUGUAGCGGUGAAAUGCGUAGAUAUCGGAAGGAACAUCAGUGGCGAAAGCGGCUUCCUGGUCCAGCACCGACGUUCAGGCACGAAAGCGUGGGGAGCAAACAGG